ensembl:piRNA 21ur-5927 ncRNA
UGAUACUCGUCGAAUCGCAUA